AACAGAACGACGGUGGAACCCUGGUCUCCUCCCUCUUCACCCGCAGCUGCACUGCAGCACACGCGCCACCGAAGCGCUCUGCCCACCUCGCUCCCCUCCAGUGGCCGCCAGCGCGGCUCAGCGGUCCAUCCUCCUGACGCCACCUGCAACGGCGUCAGGCGGUGAUCCAUUCCAACUCGCGGUAAGCUCUACCCGUCUCGCUUGGGUUGCUCGAGACCACCAAGUCCAUGCCUAAACCCAACCUUUUUUCCAUUAUAUUUAUAUGUACAAUACUACAAUUUCAAGUCCAUCCGGAUAGUCCUGGUUGGAUUUUUUCGAUACUCUGCAUAGCACCGAUCCGACUCAUCUCUAUUUCGAUUCCAUCCGCUCCGUCCUGGCAAUCACUUUGGGAAGGUGGUCAGUGGAAUAGCUUUGCUUAAAAAGCUUGAAGCAGUUGGUAGUGAAACUGGAAAUCCUUCUUAUCAAGUGAAAAUUGUAGACUGUGGUGAAGUUUCCAACACAAAUUCUCAGGAUCCGCUAAAGGGAGAUAAAGUAAGCUCAAAGACAGAUAACAGCAGUUCAGACAGUGAAAAGGGUGGCCAUCGUACCAAGCGUUCCUUACCGAAAGGAAUGAUCCAGGUGGAAGCUCCAGGAACAAUCCCAUUCAGUUUGAUGUAAAUUUAAUGAAACCAGUAAAUGUAGAUGGCAACAUUGGUGGUGAUAAUGCAGAGGCUAGCAUGUCUAGAACUGGUGAAGGAAGGCAUCUGCCAAGCAAUGAACCUUUGUCCACCAAUGGUAAAGAUUUAGGUGUGGGUUCUGCAGACAAUGGGCAACCUCAACAAAUCAGGAAAGGACGUGGUUUUACUCAGAAGUAUGGGUAUGCACGCCGAUAUAGGACGCCAUCUCCCGAGCGUCCCUCUGUUUGACCCCGCUACGAUGGAGGGAGAGAUGAUAGAUGGAACAAUUUCAAUAGGUAUGAAAGAAAUGGUCCUUACAGUAGACGCUCGCCAGUAAGGAGAUACCAUGGCUCGCCAAGAGCCAAUAGCCCAUCCAGUACUACCCAAGCCUCAACCGUUCAAAGUGUUGCUCGAAGGGGAUAUGUACAGGUGCCCAUUCUGCAAAACGCCCAAUUAUGCUGUGGAGUAUCGUGGCAUCAAAACAAAGGAGUAAAGGAGCAUAGAGCAGUUUACAGACAAUUGAAAAAGAGAAUUGAUCUUUUUUAUGGGCGAAGUGUUGAAGAUGGCUUUGGUGAAGGAAAUGUCUUGUUAGCAUCAAGUAAGUGGCGACAUCACAACCCCUACAAGCUUGUGCCUUAAAACAAGAGGAUACAAGAAGUUGGAGUGCUUUUGUGAAGGCUUUUACGAAUCACUUGAAGUGUUAGUACUUUUGUGAAUGAUUUUGUAAAGUGUUUGCAAAUAUGUGCAAAACAUAAUAACAUGUGUAGGUUUUGUGAAUGAUUUUGUUGUGGUGCUUGUUGAUGGUUUAUGUGAUGUGGAUCUACCAUUGUGCAAUACUAAUUAAAUUUGUAUAUCUAUGUGAUUAUGUGUAUAAAAAUUGGUGAUUUGUGAUGCUUUUGUAUAUAUAACAGUUGUUGAAUGCUAAUUAAUGGUAUAUUAUCAUUA